rnacentral:lncRNA from 1 species
ACAUCCUAAGGACCUUACAGAGCCUCUUAGGAGCGUGUGGGCUCCCGGCCCUGGUGAAGCAGAAGCUGCCUGCAGGCAGAGCAACCCCCACUUGGGCAGCUCGAUGAAGACAUCACUCGUCAGGCAUCAGCCCUCUCCAGUACCCCUCAUGUGUCCUGCCACUCCAGUCCCCACAACUGCUGCCCUCAGUUAACUACACAGGAACAUCAGUGCCUCGUCCUCCCCGAGUGGCUGCAGUUUUGGGGUGCCAUGGGCUGCCCGGAUGCUGUGGGCACGGAGCAGAAAGGCGCAGCUGCCUGCUGAUGGAGAGCAGCACCAGGAACGAGCAGGAGAGCCUUGCUCUAAGGAACCCAGAAAGGCAAUUCCAACAGUCCCUCGGGAAAGGGGCUGCAACGCUCUGAGUACAAUACGAAGGCAGCUGAACCUAUCUCAUGAAAUCUUGGCCAAAAUAUGGAGAAUAUGGAAUACCUGGUAUGGCAAAAGGCUUUCUCUGUUAAACGUGUCAAAGAAGGUUGUAAAUACUUUGGGGGUGCAAAAAUCAAGUUCUUUCACUAGCUGACUCUUAACUGCACUACCCUUCUGAAAGCACAAUGUAAAAAAUUUGGGGGUGGGGGUGGAAACUGGGAAGCUGCAAAUUCUCUUUUAAGAGCUUGGAGCAGAUCGAAGCCCUCUUGUUUCAGGAUGCAAACUGGCUUGUUACAGAGGAUUUGGGGAAAAAACUCCCUUGGAACAGCUGGAGCCGAUCCCCAUCGGAGUCAGAAUGCAGGGCCAGGUGGUCAGGUCUGGUUCGAUAAUUAUAUAUAUAUAUUUAUUUAUUAUUUAAAUGAAAAUAC